AUGCCCCGAAUUAUCCGGGCUACACGCGGGCUACAAUGGUCAGGACAAUGGGUAUCGACACCGAGAGGUGGAGGCAAUCUCCUAAACCUGUCCUUAGUUCGGAUUGUGGGCUGCAACUCGCCCACAUGAAGCUGGAAUCCGUAGUAAUCGCGUUCCAAAAUAGCGCGGUGAAUAUGUCCCCUGCUCCUU
rnacentral:rRNA from 1 species